UGGGGAAUCUUGGACAAUGGGGGCAACCCUGAUCCAGCCAUGCCGCGUGAGUGAUGAAGGCCUUAGGGUCGUAAAGCUCUUUCGCCUGUGAAGAUAAUGACGGUAGCAGGUAAAGAAACCCCGGCUAACUCCGUGCCAGCAGCCGCGGUAAUACGGAGGGGGUUAGCGUUGUUCGGAAUUACUGGGCGUAAAGCGCACGUAGGCGGACCAGAAAGUUGGGGGUGAAAUCCCGGGGGCUCAACCCCGGAACUGCCUCCAAAACUAUUGGUCUAGAGUUCGAGAGAGGUGAGUGGAAUUCCAAGUGUAGAGGUGAAAUUCGUAGAUAUUUGGAGGAACACCAGUGGCGAAGGCGGCUCACUGGCUCGAUACUGACGCUGAGGUGCGAAAGUGUGGGGAGCAAAACAGGAUUAGAUACCCUGGUAGUCCACACCGUAAAACGAUGAAUGCCAGUCGUCGGGUAGCAUGCUAUUCGGUGACACACCUAACGGAUUAAGCAUUCCGCCUGGGGAGUACGUCGCAAGAUUAAAAC
rnacentral:rRNA from 1 species